ensembl:lncRNA
UAAUUAGGAUGUGGAGCAUGGAGGUAUUUUUUACAGGAAACUAAGUAUGGAACCCCUGCCGUCAGCCUCAGGGCAAGAACAUGAAGGACUGUAAGUAGGUUUUUUUUUUUUUUUGAUGGGGAGAGGCAUAAUGCAGGUCAUAUGCACACACACACGCACAGAAAAGAGGCACACAAAAAUCUUGAACGACGAGGCUGAGAAAGCAAGCACAAGUGCCUGGAUGUAGUCAGUGCUCAAAACAAUACAUUUCCAGAGAGCAUCCCUCUUGACAAUGACCUGGGACCUAAUGUUCGGUGAGCUGCAGGAUCAAGGAGAAUGUGCAUCUUCCUCUUUGCUUUAAUGAACCUAAAGGUCAAGAGGGGUAUGUUACAGCUAAACAUUGGGAUAGACACACACACAUUCACCUACAAACACACCCCCCUAACAGACAUGGACACUUACCCACAAACCUUUGCACAAAGAGAGGAAUGCUGUUUGCUCACUGCAUUCAUCCAUGUAAAAGCACCAUCGGGGCAGACAGUCACUCUGUUCCACAGCAUGUCUAGCCAUCACCACACACACACACACACACACACACACACACACACACACACACACACACCUAACAAUCACAAAGAGAGAUGGCACUUUCCUUUUCACAAAGCACACCCCCAAAAACCCUCUAGCACCACACACACUUCGCUUGCCACCUUUGUAUCACUUGAAAGGCAUAUGGUUACAGCCAUUUGAUUCCAUAGCUGAAAGUGCCUUUCACUUAACAGCAG